GUCCCUGUAGCGCAAUAGAUAGCGCGUUGGAAAAUUAGUCCAAAAGUCGUGGGUUUGAAUCCUACCUGGGACA